GGCCGACGUAGCUCAAUCGGCAGAGCAACGGUCUUGUAAACCGUAGGUCAGGGGUUCGAUUCCCCUCGUCGGCUCCCA
rnacentral:tRNA from 1 species